rnacentral:rRNA from 1 species
UGAGGAAUAUUGCACAAUGGAGGAAACUCUGAUGCAGCAACGCCGCGUGGAGGAUGACGCAUUUCGGUGUGUAAACUCCUUUUAUGAGUCAAGAAAAUGACGGUAGCUCAUGAAUAAGCACCGGCUAACUCCGUGCCAGCAGCCGCGGUAAUACGGAGGGUGCAAGCGUUACUCGGAAUCACUGGGCGUAAAGGACGCGUAGGCGGGUUGUCAAGUCAGGUGUGAAAUCCUACAGCUUAACUGUAGAACUGCACUUGAAACUGGCAACCUAGAGUAUGGGAGGGGAAGAUGGAAUUAGUGGUGUAGGGGUAAAAUCCGUAGAUAUCACUAGGAAUACCUAAAGCGAAGGCGAUCUUCUGGAACAUAACUGACGCUAAGGCGUGAAAGCGUGGGGAGCAAACA